rnacentral:lncRNA from 1 species
GUUUAUACACCAAUCCGGAAUUUAAUGCAAUAGCUCUGCAUCGACCAUUAUGGAGUGUUACAGUAGAAAAACAAGCUCAACUACAAGAGAAAAACCAUCCAUGGAAACGAAAAGGUGAGACAUACAUGGAAUAUUUCGCAUCCAAAAGCAUAAAAUAGGCUACUUGUUCAUCAUUUUCUCCCUGACACCUUUCAUAUGGAGUAGCAACUUAUCAUUGUCGGGAUGGUUUUCUUUAAUCAGAGGAACUUCAAUGAAGUUCUGGGCCCAAGCAUGCAAUCGAGGCAGUGUGCUUGGUUCAAGAACUUUCACACCCACUAUAUCUUCAAUGGCUGCAAGCCAAUAAACGAAUAGUCCAUAUGAGAUGUCAACUAGAUUUAUGCUGUCACCGCCAAAAAACUUCUUGUCCCCGAGACCUUGCUCUUGUAAGACUCUCAACACUUCCACCACUUCUUUCGCUGCCUUCUCUAGCUCUUCUCCACUAGCUCGGAAAAGGGCACCAAAGGCAGCACUCUAAAUAAUGAAAGCAUUCAAUUUACAUGUCACAGAACAGAGAUAAAUGAAUAGAUAUUUGAAGGUGUUUAGCCUGAGGAGAGUAAAAAUAAAAGAAGGCAAGUUAUGAGAAAUUUUUAAUUAUUAUUCCACUUUAAGAACAAGAAGAAGAAAAUGUUUUUGGAAUCAAUUGUUUUUUUCCAGGACUGCUACCAGAUCAAAUUAAACAUUGUGGGCCUCAUGAACAGUUACAAAAUAUAUACAAGAAGAUGGAUCUCGUUACCUUGGUAGCUCCAUAUUGAAUCCAAAACCGAGCCAUGGCUCUCUCGUAAGGAUCUGUCGGUAGCAAUGGAUUCUCCGGCCAUGUUUCCUCGAUGUAUUCAAGGAUAACAAGAGACUCCGCAAUUGGCUUGCCACCAUGGACGAAUACAGGGAUUUGCUUGUAAACUGGGUUAUACUUCAAUAGCAGUUCACUUUUAUUGGCGAGGUCUUCUUCAAUAUACUCAAACUCCACGCCCUUUAGUUUCAGAGCCCAUAUAACUCUGUAACUAAAAGGGCUAGCCCAGAAACCAUGCAGCUUCACAUCUGCCAUCGUUCCAAUGAGAUCAGUAUGCAAGGUCUACUGCUGUGCCAAGUCUUCUUAUAGCGACUCUUGGCUUGGGCAAAUAAGUUUUGGAUGCAAGAAACAUUUUUUUCUAUUGCAAGUAUUGACUUGACUUGGUCCAUAACUUUGAUUCCGAAUUUUUUUUAAUUUAACUUGGACAUCGAUAAUUUGCAAGUAAUUCUUGAAUAAUCUCGGAUAUGCACAUGAUGAUGAAACGAGAUUCAUCAAACAAACAAAAAAACAAAGAAAAGAAACAAGAUUCAUUUCAAACAAAUUUAAAGAAAUGUUAAAAUUAAUGAAUAUCACAAUCUGAUUAACUUUUAGAAGUUUUUUAUUAUUUUAGUUGAAAAUAUAUUAAAAUUAAUGGAUAUCGUUGAAAAUUCAUACUAUGAAUUUUAUUUUAUUUUGUUUGUCACGGUGUGCAGUUUAUUUUCCUCGCAAGAAACACUGACUACUCUGUAGAAAGUUGCAUUCUUUGAACGUAUUCGUGCCUAGCCUUCGGAUUAGGUGGUGGAUAAGGACAGACGUAGUCAUGAACCUGUCUGGCUGUCGAACUUCGAAGAAAUCUCAGUGCCCAUCUCCAAGACCUGACAUGCCUACCAAUAUCAUGAUGUUAUUGAAUUAAGGAAAGCAGAAAUAAACUAUCCCUGAUUUGACAACCUUUUUCUUUUGUUAACCUCUGCCAAAUAAUCCAUCGACUAUCUGAAUUGAUCACUAAUUAACUAUAAAAGUAUCAGCUUUUUUUUAACAUCAGAAUUGUUAAUUUAUUUUUAAAAAAGUUAUUAAUAUUAUAGAUCUCAAUAUUAUUAAAAUUUUAAUUAUUAAUUUUAGAAUUUCAUGGAAUUAAUUAAAGUGCAUGUAACUUAAAUAAGCACCCAUAAUUACAAAAAAAAAUCAUCUUUCUAAUGUGCUAGAAUUAUUCUGCACUUCUUUUUAAUUUUAUUGAGUAUUGAAGUAGUGUAUUUUUAGUAAUUUUUAUUUUGGUAUUUAAAAUUUUAUUUUGUGCAAUUCAGUUAUUUCAGGUACAAAUUAGCUUCUAAUUACAUAUUUUUGUAAAAAAAAAAGAGUUGAAUUGAAAUAUAGCGAACUAAAGCGAAAAUCUCGGUGACAUAAAGGGCAGGUUAAAAGUUUUGUUAAAACAUUAAUUUUAAUUCUUUCAUGUUUUUUAGAUAUCAAGUGACCAAUCCUUUAAAUUUAAAAACAGCACAUUUUGGUACCUAACUUUAUUUCUCUUUUUUCCAGUCAUUUUCUAUUGGGAGGAAAGAGAGAGUAGUCCAAUUCUGACUUAGAUAGAGAAAAUUGUCGAUGGGAGAGAUUCUGACCACCAAAACGAUUGAUUUUUAUAUCAAUAUAUUUCAUAUAAUAAGGGAUUUGUGUUUAGGUGUUUGUUUACCUUGAAAACACCUCAAACAACAAAUUUAAGCUCGUGAGGAAUUUUUAUUUCUGGUGUUUUCGGGUUUUGUGGUGGUUUAUUAGGUUUUUGAAGAUCACGGAUUGGUGUAAUAAGGUUUCUAAAGUGUUUUCAGUAUGUUUUGGGUCAAAAUAAGUUUGAAAAUGAGAUUUUGGAUGAAAAAACAAAUGACCUCAUUUUUCUAGUCACCAUAGUGGUCGGAUUCUGGGUUUCGCAUGCAAUGCAUCAUCUUUUAUAUAUAUACAAGAUGACAUGCUCGCGCGCUGCCGCGGGCUUAUAAAACAAAUGCACUUUAUGGUGUUAUAAUUGUAAACCAGCGCUAGAUAAGUAAUAGAAAUUAAAUGUAUGAUGGAGCAAAUAUUUCAUGACGGAAAAAAAGUUGUGUUGGUGAUAAAAAACUUAGAGACUGAACAAAAUAAUUUGUAGCAAUCUACAGUGUUUUGUGAGGAAAGAUACAGUGCUUUUGCCACAUGAUUUAGCUUUUCAGUUAAUAAAAAGCAAAAAAAAUUACAAAGCUAAAUUCUCUACCAGCUUAAUAUUAAAAAAAAUCAACAAAGAUAAUUUUGGAAGGAAAAAAACCCAGGAGAAAAAACGUUGCAGCAAUUGACAAUGUUUUGUGAGGAAAACUAUAGCGCUUUUCCCAAUAAAAUAAAAUAAAAAACUAUUUAGAGAAAUAUUGAAGCAAUCCACAGUGUUUUGUGAGAAAAACUACAACGCUUUCCUCAUAUGAUUUAACUUUAUUGUAAUUAUAAUUCUUAACCAACUCAAUAUUAAAAAAAAAUUGACAAAGAUAAUUUUGGAAAAAAUCAUAAAAAACUCACAUGGGAAAACACUGCAACAAUUCACAGUGUUUUAAAGAAAAAAAAUUACAAAGCUAAAUUCUUAAUUAGCUCAAUAUUAAAAAAAAAUCGACAGAAACAAUUUUAGAAAAAAAAUAACAAAAUAAACACCAAAAAAAGGAAAAAAAAAUCAUGUUGGAAACACUGUAGCAAUUCACAGUGUUUUGUGAUGAAAGCUACAGUGCUUCCCCACAUGAUUUAGCCUUAUUUGUAAUGACUUGUAAUUGUAAUUCACAAACAACUCAAUAUUAAAAAAAAUAAAAUUGAAAAAGAUAAUUUGAAAAAAAUUAUAAUAAAAAAAAUCAUGCGGAGCGACACUGUAGCAAUCCACAAUGUUUUAUGAGUAAAGCUAUACUGCUUUCCCCACAUGAUUAAGCUUUAUUACAAAGUUAAAUUUUAACCAACUCAAUAUUAAAAAAAAAAUCGACGAAGAUAAUUUUGGAAGAAAAUAUUACAAAAAAAGAAAACACAAAAGAAACUAAAAAAAAACCAUGUGAGGAAAAACUGUAUCAAUCCAUAGUGUUUUGUGAGGAAAAAUUUGUAUUUAGUUGUAAUUGCAAUUCUUAACCACCUUAAUAUUUAAAAAAUAAAAUUGACAAAGAUAAUUUUAGGAAAAAACAUAACAAAAACAGAAAAAAAAACCAUGUGGGAAAAAACACUGUAGCAAUCAACAGUAAUUUUCGAGGAAAGUUACAGUGCUUUCCUCACAUAUUAUAACUGUAAUUUUUAACCAGCUUAGUAUUAAAAAAUAAAAAUAAAAUAAUUUCAGAGAAAAUCAUAAAAAAAACCAUGCGGAGAAACACUGUAGCAAUCAACAAUGUUUUAAAGAAAAAAAAUUACAAAACUAAAUUCUCAAUAAACUCCAUAUUAAAAAAAAAUCGACAAAUAUAAUUUUGAAAAAUAAAGAAAUAAAAUAGAAAAACUAUGUAGAAAAACAUCGCAGCAAUCCACAGUAUUUUAAAGAAAAAAAUUACAAAGCGAAAAUUUUAACCAGAUCAAUAUUUUAAAAGUAAAAUCAACAAAAAUAAUUUUAGGAAAAAAAAAAGAAAAAAAAUGAAAAAAAAAUAAAAAUAGGAAAGUUGAAAAAAAAAAGUAAUUUUGAAAAAAAAAAAAAGAAGGAAAAAGUUACAAAAAAAAAACAAAGAGGAGGAAAGCACUGUGGAUUACUGUUGUAAUCCACAGUGCUUUGUGUGUAGGGGAACAAUAAUUCCCCCACACCAUUUAGAUAGUGUUGUAAUAUAUAUAUAUAUAUAUAUAUAAUUGGAGCGGACAAUACGUCGUUCGCCUUAUCAAACUUUUUUAAAAAUAAAGGCCCGCGCGCGGGCCGCUGCUUUACUAGGCCAUGCGCUAGGCCUGUCCUGGUUCCUUUUUUUUAUUUUUAGUUUUUAAAAAAAUAGUACAUUAUUUUUUUAUAUAUUUUUUCAAAUAAAUUUUGGGUUUAUAUUUUAAGAAGAUUGCGAUUAUUUUAAAAUGAUAUUGGGUGUGUUUAAUUUUUAGAGAUGUGGAUAUGAUUCAUCUGUGGUUUGUUCUUAAUUUUAUAUAGAUUAAUUUUUUUUUAAUAUGAUUUUUUUAUAAGAUUUUUUAUAUGUGUAGCUUUUUUUUUAAUUAUUGUUCAGUAAAUUUUAUGUGUGUGUCGGUUUCUAUUAUAAAUUUUAUGUAUUUUUCUUUUACAAAUUUAUUUUGAUAAACGAAUUCAUUAGAUAUAACCAGGUAAAUUACUCUUAUUGUAAUGUUAGAUAUCUUGAUUUUUACUUUUAGCUUGGUUUUUUCAAUUUUAUUUUUGUCAAUUGUUGAUGAUUUUUUUUCAUUGCUUUACAUAAUAGUUAUUUGAUUUACACCUAGAAGUUUUUUUAGUAUAAAAAAACACGUUGAAGAACUCUGUAUAUUCAAUUUUAUUUAUGUUUUAAUGUUCAAGAUUUGAUGUUUAUUCUUAUGAUUUUUUAUUUUUUUUCUUUGAAUCUUUUAUGAAAGUUUCAUUGUUUUUAGUUUUAUUAUUCAAUCAAAGUUUAUAAUAUAUUAUUUUUUUUGUUUUUUUAUCUAUGUUAUUUUGAUUUUUGUUCUUUUAUUAAUGUUUUUAUUCUCUUUGAUUUAGCUCUCAAAACUAAAAUCCGUUGUUGUCUUUUGAUUUAUUUUUAUUGCAAUUUUAACACUCAUUGUUUUUAUUUUGGAUUUUUUAAGUUGUUUUUAUGUUGUGAUUUUAACCCUUGUGAUUUUUUCAUAUAUAGUGUUUUCGAUCUUGUAACCCGGGUCAUGGUUUAAAAAGUUAGUAGUGAUUAACAUUUUUUGUCUUAUUUUUUUAUAUUCAUAUUUUUUUAUUUUUUUCUAUGAAAUUAUUUUAUUCUCAUUUAAUUUUUAUUUUCUUAACAAAUAAAAUUAUUGAGAUAUUUUGGAAUAUUAUGAAGAUAUAUUUUAAUAAUAUUGGUAAGUGUUCAUCUUUUACAUUGAACGAGAUUACUUGCCCGCGCGCUGCCGCGGGCUUAUAAAACAAAUGCACUUGAUAGUGUUAUAAUUGUGAACCAGCGCUAAAUAAGUAAUAGAAAUUAAAGGUACGAUGAAUCAAAUAUUUCAUGACGGAAAAAGAAGUUGUGCUGGUGAUCAAAAACUUAGAGACUGAAUAAAAUGAUUUGUAGCAAUCUACAGUGUUUUGUGAGAAAAACUACAACGCUUUUCUCAUAUGAUUUAGCUUUAUUGUAAUUAUAAUUCUUAACCAACUCAAUAUUAAAAAAAAAAUCGACAAAGAUAAUUUUGGAAGGAAAAAAACCCAUGAGAAAAGAUGUUGUAGUAAUUGACAAUGUUUUGUGAGGAAAAUUAUAGCGUUUUUCCCAAUAAAAUAAACUAAAAAACUAUUUAGAGAAAUAUUAUAGCAAUCCACAGUGUUUUGUGAGAAAAACUACAACGCUUUUCUCAUAUGAUUUAGCUUUAUUGUAAUUAUAAUUCUUAACCAACUCAAUAUUAAAAAAAAAAUCGACAAAGAUAAUUUUGGAAGGAAAAAAACCCAUGAGAACAUGGAAAAACACUAUAACAAUGUUUUGUGAGGAAAAUUAUAGCGUUUUUCCCAAUAAAAUAAACUAAAAAACUAUUUAGAGAAAUAUUAUAGCAAUCCACAGUGUUUUGUGAGAAAAACUACAACGCUUUUCUCAUAUGAUUUAGCUUUAUUGUAAUUAUAAUUCUUAACCAACUCAAUAUUAAAAAAAAAAUCGACAAAGAUAAUUUUGGAAAAAAUCAUAAAAAAAUCACAUGGAAAAACACUACAACAAUUCACAGUGUUUUAAAGAAAAAAAUAACAAAGCUAAAUUUUUAAUCGACUCAAUAUUAAAAAAAAAAUCAACAUAGAUAAUUUUAGGAAAAAAAAAAACAAACAUCAGGGUGGUCUGUAGGGAUCAUGUUGGAAACACUGUAGCAAUUCAUAGUGUUUUGUGAUGAAAGCUAUAGUGCUUCCCCACAUGAUUUAGCCUUAUUUGUAAUGACUUGUAAUUGUAAUUCACAAACAACUCAAUAUCAAAAAAAUAAAAUUGAAAAAGAUAAUUUGAAAAAAAUUAUAACAAAAAAAACUAUGCGGAGAGACACUGUAGCAAUCCACAAUGUUUUAUGAGCAAAGCUACAAUACUUUCCCCACAUGAUUAAGCUUUAUUACAAAGUUAAAUUUUAACCAACUCAAUAUUUAAAAAAAUAAAAUCGACGAAAAUGAUUUUGGAAAAAAAUAUUACAAAAAAAGAAAACACAAAAGAAACUGGAAAAAAACUAUGUGAGGAAAAACUGUAUCAAUCCAUAGUGUUUUUUGAGGAAAAACUUGUAUUUACUUGUAAUUACAAUUCUUAACCAGCUUAAUAUUUAAAAAAUAAAAUUGACAAAGAUAAUUUUAGGGAAAAACAUAACGAAAACAAAAAAAAACCAUGUGGGAAAAAACACUGUAGCAAACAACAGUAAUUUUUGAGGAAAGUUAAAGUGCUUUCCUCACAUAUUAUAACUGUAAUUUUUAACCAGCUCAAUAUUAAAAAAUAAAAUAAAAAAAAAUAAUUUUAGAGAAAAUCAUAAAAAAAAUCAUGCAGAGAAACACUGUAGCAAUAAACAAUGUUUUAAAAAAAAAAUUACAAAACUAAAUUCUCAAUCAGCUUCAUAUUAAAAAAAAUCAAAAAAUAUAAUUUUUUAAAAUAAAGAAAUAAAAUAGAAAAACUAUGUGGAAAAACAUCGCAGCAAUCCACAGUAUUUUCAAGAAAAAAAUUACAAAGCAAAAAUUUUAACCAGGUCAAUAUUUAAAAAGUAAAAUCAACAAAAAUAAUUUUGAAAAAAACAAAAGAAAAAAUAAAUGAAAAAAAAUUAGGAAAGUUGAAAAAAAAAAGUAAUUUUGAAAAAAAAACGAAAAAAAAGGGAAAAGUAAAAAAAAAAAAAAAAAAAGUGGGGAAGAAUCACUAUGGAUUACUGUUGUAAUCCACAGUGAAAUGUGUGUGGGGGAACAGUGAUUCUCCCACACGGUUUAGUAUAUGUGUUAAUUGUUAUUUUUUUGUUUUAUUUGUUGUUGAUAUUUUAUUUUUUAAUAAUAUUAUUAAAUUAAAGAGUUUAUUAAACUGAUAAGCCAAGUAUUUAAAUAUUAUAUUUUAUUUUGUUUAUUUUUAUUUUAUUUUUGUCAUACGAUCAAAACAAAAUUGACGGCGACUUUAGUUUUUAGUGCCCAGAUAACCCGCUGGCUGAAUGGGCUUGGACUCAACCCGAAGAACUUCACAUCUACCAUACUGAUAACUGAACUGUGACUUGUGUUCAGCAAAGGAGGGCUUUAUAUUAUUCAUUGCCGACUUUUCUUUUCCUUCUCUCUUUUUAUUGCAGACUUUUCUUCUUGGCUGUCCAAAUAAAUGGAAAAUUAGAAGAGGAAGAAUCAAAGUUAGGCUGCAUGAUUUGACGAAGGUAUUUUUCUGCCCCCUCUUAUCCAUGGCCAACUCUGUUCAAGUUGAGAUUGCCCUUGAAAAUCCUAACUAAGAUGCACAAAUUGGAAAACUCAAUUCCAUGGCGAGUCUCCUGUUUGCUUGACUGCUUAGCUUGCUUUCAUAUAGAUUACAGAGAAUUUACUCCUGGCUCUACGCACUGGUCUUUCCAACAGACAAGGAGAAAUUGAAAAACAAAUAACAAUGAUCACAAGUUUUAUGGAUAUCACCAAAAUGAUCUAACAUCACUGGAUAUUCUAAGCUUGCAGUCUGAUUAAAAUUUAUUGACUCCACAACAUAAAAGGUCUUUGCUUAGAUAAGCCUGGUCAGGAGAAAAAUCCAUCCAGCGUUCUCUCUUGGUCCGUACAUGUUUAUACAUGAAUUUUGGCUAAGUGUUUAUACGAAAUCCACAUACAAAUUCAGGAGCACUGUUAUUCUAUUCUGUGUGUCCAAUUCACAGCAGACCCCUCUCCGUCCAACCAAAAUGCCCUUCUGUUCUUCCGUUUACCUUUCUUGGCUGUCAAGAGGCGUGCCAAAGAAGAUUAGCAUCGAUACCAUCAUGCAUGGCGUUUAUCAAAACAGCAAAGUCCAGGAGAUGAUAUGUAUAGUCAACCUUAUUAACAUUAAUAAUGCUUAUUUAACCCAGAAAAACAUGAAGUAAAUCGCAAACUGUGAGACAUUGCUGGGAAACUUCAAUAGAAAAGGAAAGAGCACGCAUCGCGUUAAUUAUUGCAUUUCUAAUCUCCAUAGUCAAGUCUUAUUUCGACAGAGAAUUGAAGUGAAAAAGUAAUCGGAGAGAGACACUCAAACUUCUCUCCCAAGCGUCUAACUACUCCCUGAGCAUAGAAAAGGAUAAAAAUAUAUAUUUAAGUACUAUGUUUUAGCAUCUUCUAGAUGAUCUCUGGUUUUGGUCACUGAUAAUAUCAAUAUAAAAUAUAUAUUUGCUUAUGAAUAUGAUUAUGUAAGCAAAUAUAUCAAUAAUGGAGGAAGAAAAACUCCUUUUCGAGGUAUAUCCCUUUCAUUAACUAAAUUCUUUUGAAUUCGCUGACCCAUCACACAAAAGCAAAGGCAAAAGAAUAUUGAUGGUUAUAACCCUGUUCUUAAGAAGAUCCCAGUGCUUCUCCAUGGCGAAAAACCAGUUUGCGAGUCCAUGAUUAUUGUCGAAUACAUCGAUGAGAUAUGGCCCCAAAAUCCCUUGCUGCCCAAUGACCCUUAAGAGAGAGCUCUGGCUCGUUUCUGGGUCAAAUUUACGGACGAUAAGGUAAAGAGUACAGGCAUCAUUUUACAUUACAUAUAAUAUUACUAUGAAACCGGACUUAAAAAUAUUUUUUUAAAAAAUUAAUAUUUUUUUUAAUUUUUUAUUUUAAAUUAAUAUUUUUAAUAUUUUUUGAUUAUUUUAAUAUGUUAAUGUAAAAAAUAUUUUUUAAAAAAUAAAAAUAUUAUUUUAAUAUAUUUUCAAGUAUAUUUUAAAAGUAUUUAAAAAAAAUUAAUUUUUGUUUUAUUUUUUUAUUUUAAAUUAAUAAUUUUUAUAUUUUCUGAUUAUUUUAAUAUGUUAAUGUGAAAAAUAUUUUUUUAAAAAUAAAAAUAUUAUUUUAAUAUAUUUUUGAGUAUAUUUUAAAAGUAUUUUUAGAAAAAAUUAAUUUUUUUUAUUUUAAAUUUAUAAUUUUUAAUAUUUUAAUAUUAUUUUAAUAUAUUUUCAAGUGAAAAAAACUUUAAAAAUCAUUCCUUGAACUUCCAAACACUCCUUAUUAUUAUUGUUGUUAGUAGAAACAUAAAAAUAUUUCUUUUUAAUGUUUUUAUAAUAUUUUUAAUUUCAAAAAUAAAAUUUAAAAAAUAUAAAAAUAUAUCUUAAAAAUUAAUUAUUACUAUAAUGUGAAACAAGCUAUUAAUAUUUUUUUAAAAAUAAAUACUUAAACGAGUUCUGGGCUUUUAAAAAAAAUUGGUUUCUGCUGAUGUGGUUAGUUCAUGAUCAAUGAUGAAUCAUUAGGUUGACUUGCCGAGCUGUUCUAAUAAAAUUGAUUAAGGAAAAAAAAGUAAAUGGAAAGGAAUAUAAAAGAAAUACAACAGUGUUUAUACACCAAUCCGGAAUUUAAUGCAAUAGCUCUGCAUCAACCAUUAUGGAGUGUUAUAGUAGAAAAACAAGAUCUACAAGAGAAAAACCAUCCAUGGAAACGAAAAGGUGAGACAUACAUGGAAUAUUUCGCAUCCAAAAGCAUAAAAUAGGCUACUUGUUCAUCAUUUUCUCCCUGACACCUUUCAUAUGGAGUAGCAACUUAUCAUAGUCGGGAAUGUUUUCUUUAAUCAGAGGAACUUCAAUGAAAUUCUGGGC